rnacentral:lncRNA from 1 species
GUUCCUGCGCCUCGGGAGGAGGCUCUGCGCAGGACUGCAGGGUCUGCCCCGCAUCGGAGUGAUCGCCGAGCCUGACGCUGUCGAAGUCUGGGCCUGGGGCCCGCAAUCUACUCCGGAGGCUUUCCCGCUGGGCAGGGCUGCUAGCAGGGAGGCACCAUUCCCAUGUGAAAGAUGAGCUCCCUAUAAAAGCAACGCUCUUAUCAUCGAGAACAGAAAGUUGAAGCCAAGAGAGAGCUCCACAAGCUGACCUUGUUAAACUAACCCUUAUAUUCUUAGUCGCUUCUUUACCCAAUUAACUACCCUAGCUGAAGCCCCUUUGCCUUAUUACAUUUUGCAACAGUGUUCGUUGUCCAAUUCAGUAUACAAGUGAGUGGCUCUAGAUGCAUUUUGGGGUCUUUAUUUCCUUAUGAGGGCUUCUGUGCCAUGUAAAACUUGUAUUAAAUAAAUUUGUAUGCUUUUCUCCUGUUAA